GUGGGGAAUAUUGGACAAUGGGCGAAAGCCUGAUCCAGCAAUGCCGCGUGUGUGAUGAAGGCCUGCGGGUUGUAAAGCACUUUCGUUGGGGAAGAAAUGCUCAAGGUUAAUACCCUUGAGAGUUGACGUUACCCAAAGAAGAAGCACCGGCUAACUCUGUGCCAGCAGCCGCGGUAAUACAGAGGGUGCAAGCGUUAAUCGGAGUUAUUGGGCGUAAAGGGCGCGUAGGUGGGUAUUUAAGUCGGAUGUGAAAUCCCUGGGCUUAACCUAGGAAUUGCAUUCGAUACUGGAUACCUUGAGUAUGGUAGAGGAAAGUGGAAUUCCCGGUGUAGCGGUGAAAUGCGUAGAUAUCGGGAGGAACAUCAGGGCGAAGGCGGCUUUCUGGACCAAUACUGACACUGAGGCGCGAGAGCGUGGGGAGCAAACAGGAUUAGAAACCCGGGUAGUCC
rnacentral:rRNA from 1 species